UUAAGCGACUAAGCGUACACGGUGGAUGCCCUGGCAGUCAGAGGCGAUGAAGGACGUGCUAAUCUGCGAUAAGCGUCGGUAAGGUGAUAUGAACCGUUAUAACCGGCGAUUUCCGAAUGGGGAAACCCAGUGUGAUUCGUCACACUAUCAUUAACUGAAUCCAUAGGUUAAUGAGGCGAACCGGGGGAACUGAAACAUCUAAGUACCCCGAGGAAAAGAAAUCAACCGAGAUUCCCCCAGUAGCGGCGAGCGAACGGGGAGCAGCCCAGAGCCUGAAUCAGUGUGUGUGUUAGUGGAAGCGUCUGGAAAGGCGCGCGAUACAGGGUGACAGCCCCGUACACAAAAAUGCACAUGCUGUGAGCUCGAUGAGUAGGGCGGGACACGUGGUAUCCUGUCUGAAUAUGGGGGGACCAUCCUCCAAGGCUAAAUACUCCUGACUGACCGAUAGUGAACCAGUACCGUGAGGGAAAGGCGAAAAGAACCCCGGCGAGGGGAGUGAAAAAGAACCUGAAACCGUGUACGUACAAGCAGUGGGAGCACGCUUAGGCGUGUGACUGCGUACCUUUUGUAUAAUGGGUCAGCGACUUAUAUUCUGUAGCAAGGUUAACCGAAUAGGGGAGCCGAAGGGAAACCGAGUCUUAACUGGGCGUUAAGUUGCAGGGUAUAGACCCGAAACCCGGUGAUCUAGCCAUGGGCAGGUUGAAGGUUGGGUAACACUAACUGGAGGACCGAACCGACUAAUGUUGAAAAAUUAGCGGAUGACUUGUGGCUGGGGGUGAAAGGCCAAUCAAACCGGGAGAUAGCUGGUUCUCCCCGAAAGCUAUUUAGGUAGCGCCUCGUGAAUUCAUCUCCGGGGGUAGAGCACUGUUUCGGCAAGGGGGUCAUCCCGACUUACCAACCCGAUGCAAACUGCGAAUACCGGAGAAUGUUAUCACGGGAGACACACGGCGGGUGCUAACGUCCGUCGUGAAGAGGGAAACAACCCAGACCGCCAGCUAAGGUCCCAAAGUCAUGGUUAAGUGGGAAACGAUGUGGGAAGGCCCAGACAGCCAGGAUGUUGGCUUAGAAGCAGCCAUCAUUUAAAGAAAGCGUAAUAGCUCACUGGUCGAGUCGGCCUGCGCGGAAGAUGUAACGGGGCUAAACCAUGCACCGAAGCUGCGGCAGCGACGCUGAUGCGUUGUUGGGUAGGGGAGCGUUCUGUAAGCCUGCGAAGGUGUGCUGUGAGGCAUGCUGGAGGUAUCAGAAGUGCGAAUGCUGACAUAAGUAACGAUAAAGCGGGUGAAAAGCCCGCUCGCCGGAAGACCAAGGGUUCCUGUCCAACGUUAAUCGGGGCAGGGUGAGUCGACCCCUAAGGCGAGGCCGAAAGGCGUAGUCGAUGGGAAACAGGUUAAUAUUCCUGUACUUGGUGUUACUGCGAAGGGGGGACGGAGAAGGCUAUGUUGGCCGGGCGACGGUUGUCCCGGUUUAAGCGUGUAGGCUGGUUUUCCAGGCAAAUCCGGAAAAUCAAGGCUGAGGCGUGAUGACGAGGCACUACGGUGCUGAAGCAACAAAUGCCCUGCUUCCAGGAAAAGCCUCUAAGCAUCAGGUAACAUCAAAUCGUACCCCAAACCGACACAGGUGGUCAGGUAGAGAAUACCAAGGCGCUUGAGAGAACUCGGGUGAAGGAACUAGGCAAAAUGGUGCCGUAACUUCGGGAGAAGGCACGCUGAUAUGUAGGUGAAGUCCCUCGCGGAUGGAGCUGAAAUCAGUCGAAGAUACCAGCUGGCUGCAACUGUUUAUUAAAAACACAGCACUGUGCAAACACGAAAGUGGACGUAUACGGUGUGACGCCUGCCCGGUGCCGGAAGGUUAAUUGAUGGGGUUAGCGCAAGCGAAGCUCUUGAUCGAAGCCCCGGUAAACGGCGGCCGUAACUAUAACGGUCCUAAGGUAGCGAAAUUCCUUGUCGGGUAAGUUCCGACCUGCACGAAUGGCGUAAUGAUGGCCAGGCUGUCUCCACCCGAGACUCAGUGAAAUUGAACUCGCUGUGAAGAUGCAGUGUACCCGCGGCAAGACGGAAAGACCCCGUGAACCUUUACUAUAGCUUGACACUGAACAUUGAGCCUUGAUGUGUAGGAUAGGUGGGAGGCUUUGAAGUGUGGACGCCAGUCUGCAUGGAGCCGACCUUGAAAUACCACCCUUUAAUGUUUGAUGUUCUAACGUUGACCCGUAAUCCGGGUUGCGGACAGUGUCUGGUGGGUAGUUUGACUGGGGCGGUCUCCUCCUAAAGAGUAACGGAGGAGCACGAAGGUUGGCUAAUCCUGGUCGGACAUCAGGAGGUUAGUGCAAUGGCAUAAGCCAGCUUGACUGCGAGCGUGACGGCGCGAGCAGGUGCGAAAGCAGGUCAUAGUGAUCCGGUGGUUCUGAAUGGAAGGGCCAUCGCUCAACGGAUAAAAGGUACUCCGGGGAUAACAGGCUGAUACCGCCCAAGAGUUCAUAUCGACGGCGGUGUUUGGCACCUCGAUGUCGGCUCAUCACAUCCUGGGGCUGAAGUAGGUCCCAAGGGUAUGGCUGUUCGCCAUUUAAAGUGGUACGCGAGCUGGGUUUAGAACGUCGUGAGACAGUUCGGUCCCUAUCUGCCGUGGGCGCUGGAGAACUGAGGGGGGCUGCUCCUAGUACGAGAGGACCGGAGUGGACGCAUCACUGGUGUUCGGGUUGUCAUGCCAAUGGCACUGCCCGGUAGCUAAAUGCGGAAGAGAUAAGUGCUGAAAGCAUCUAAGCACGAAACUUGCCCCGAGAUGAGUUCUCCCUGACUCCUUGAGAGUCCUGAAGGAACGUUGAAGACGACGACGUUGAUAGGCCGGGUGUGUAAGCGCAGCGAUGCGUUGAGCUAACCGGUACUAAUGAACCGUGAGGCUUAACCUU
rnacentral:rRNA from 3 species